UACGUAGGGUGCGAGCGUUAAUCGGAAUUACUGGGCGUAAAGCGUGCGCAGGCGGUUCUGAAAGUCAGCUGUGAAAGCCCCGGGCUUAACCUGGGAACUGCGGUUGAAACUACAGGACUAGAAUCUGGCAGAGGGGGGUGUAAUUCCACGUGUAGCAGUGAAAUGCGUAGAGAUGUGGAGGAACACCGAUGGCGAAGGCAGCCCCCUGGGCUGAGAUUGACGCUCAGGCACGAAAGCGUGGGGAGCAAACAGG
rnacentral:rRNA from 1 species